rnacentral:rRNA from 1 species
UCGAGAAUAAUUCACAAUGGGGGAAACCCUGAUGGUGCAACGCCGCGUGGAGGAUGAAGGUCUUCGGAUUGUAAACUCCUGUCAUCGGGGAGUAAGACCUGGGCGUGAAUAGCGCACAGGGUUGAUAGUACCCGAAGAGGAAGGGACGGCUAACUUCGUGCCAGCAGCCGCGGUAAUACGAAGGUGCCAAGCGUUGUUCGGAAUCACUGGGCGUAAAGGGAGCGCAGGCGGCGUGGUAAGUCAGAUGUG